rnacentral:rRNA from 1 species
UACGAAGGGGGCUAGCGUUGCUCGGAAUCACUGGGCGUAAAGGGUGCGUAGGCGGUUCUUUAAGUCCGGGGUGAAAUCCUGGAGCUCAACUCCAGAACUGCCUUUGAUACUGAGGAUCUUGAGUUCGGGAGAGGUGAGUGGAACUGCGAGUGUAGAGGUGAAAUUCGUAGAUAUUCGCAAGAACACCAGUGGCGAAGGCGGCUCACUGGCCCGAUACUGACGCUGAUGCACGAAAGCGUGGGGAGCAAACAGG